UUGAUCUUAACUGGAAGAACAUGAAGACAUCCACUCACACUUUAUUCCUGUCCCUGUGGCUGCAGCUGGACUGGGUGAGCCAAGGAGAGAAGGUGGAGCAGCAUCAUUCCAUCCUGAACGUGCAGGAGGGAGACAGCUCUGUUAUCAACUGCACUUACUCAGACAGUGCCUCAGUCUACUUCCCUUGGUACAAGCAAGAACCUGGAAAGAGACCCCAGGUCCUUAUUGGCAUUCGUUCAAAUCAAGACACAAAUAACAAAGAGAGACUCAUGGUUUUACUGAGCAAGAAGGAGAAACACUUCUCCCCGCACAUCAAUGGUACCCAGCCUGGGGACUCAGCCAUCUACUUCUGUGCAGCAAGUGCACAUCGCUUCCUAGGCACCUGCAACCUGUCCUCAAACCUGCCACUAGGGCUGCAGCCCCACCUUUGUUCUUUGCCACAGACAUCUGUGUAG